rnacentral:tRNA from 1 species
CGCCGUUGGCGGCCGGCAUGGCCACGGCUUCGCCGGUGCGGGCGUCGAGCAUGAAGGUGUGCGACGAAUUGGGUUCGGUGCCGGCAGUGGCGGC